CAGGAAACAGCUUGCUGUUUCGCUGACGAGUGGCGGACGGGUGAGUAAUGUCUGGGAAACUGCCUGAUGGAGGGGGAUAACUACUGGAAACGGUAGCUAAUACCGCAUAACGUCGCAAGACCAAAGAGGGGGACCUUCGGGCCUCUUGCCAUCAGAUGUGCCCAGAUGGGAUUAGCUAGUAGGUGGGGUAACGGCUCACCUAGGCGACGAUCCCUAGCUGGUCUGAGAGGAUGACCAGCCACACUGGAACUGAGACACGGUCCAGACUCCUACGGGAGGCAGCAGUGGGGAAUAUUGCACAAUGGGCGCAAGCCUGAUGCAGCCAUGCCGCGUGUAUGAAGAAGGCCUUCGGGUUGUAAAGUACCUUCAGCGGGGAGGAAGGGAGUAAAGUUAAUACCUUUGCUCAUUGACGUUACCCGCAGAAGAAGCACCGGCUAACUCCGUGCCAGCAGCCGCGGUAAUACGGAGGGUGCAAGCGUUAAUCGGAAUUACUGGGCGUAAAGCGCACGCAGGCGGUUUGUUAAGUCAGAUGUGAAAUCCCCGGGCUCAACCUGGGAACUGCAUCUGAUACUGGCAAGCUUGAGUCUCGUAGAGGGGGGUAGAAUUCCAGGUGUAGCGGUGAAAUGCGUAGAGAUCUGGAGGAAUACCGGUGGCGAAGGCG
rnacentral:rRNA from 1 species